GAUCUGGGUGGGGAGGAUAUGUAUGUGCACUGCACAAUCCUUUCAACUUUGCUGCAGGUUUGGAAGUUUUCCUAACAAAAUGUUGGGGGGGUGGGGAAUAAUCCCCUCACAGUGAGCCAUUUUAAUUGAAACCAGGCUCUUGACCAGUGUGCUCCCUGAGGCCAGAGGGUGAGGGAGUUGUGUGGAUUGGAUCCAUUUCACCUGUGAAGGCUCCCCGUGGGGAGUUCCUGCUGCCAAGGCUCAAAAGUGGUGCUGGUCCCAGACUGGUGGAGAGGAGGGGCAGGACCGCCCUCUCCCUUCCAGGGAUGAGCUCAUGCUGCCCAUUGCCCCAGCCUCUGCUAUGGAACCCUUGAGCUGCGAGACACUGCCCUUUCCAGUGGCUUACCCCUCACACGCCCGCAUCUACACAGUUAAGACUGCAUUCCACAGCGGACUCCGGGCCCGAGUCUGGCUUUCCUUCCCUCUCCUGGAGGGCUUGCCAUCUGCUUCAGCGCUGCCUGUGACAUGGGAGGGCACCUGCUCAGCACACAUUUGCUGUGGCUCUGAGACCCCUGGGUAAGCAGAGAGGCUGUCUGAGCACAGGAGGGUUGGGAGGCUUGGCUGUCCAGAUGGUCCCCCUGCCGCCUACAGGUUCUGGGCACCAGAGAGUGGACGGAGCCAGGGGAAGCAGGGGCAGGAAGUUAAGUGGCGGGUGAAGAGGCUUUCUGGAGUUGAGUUCUGACCUAUAUUAUAUUGUGGGUCACACACAUUGGUCGUCCAGGGAAGGUGCUGGGAUCCAGUUAACAAGCCAGGUAACUGACUCAGAUGUGGAAGUAAAAUGAAAGGUCUCCCCACCCUGCCUCUCCAGUCACCCACUAGUUGAUGAGUGGUGCUCAGCAAAUGAAACUCUUGGUUGUAUUAAUAUCAGCCUUCACAUAAUGGCAUUAGGGAAAAAAAUAAUACAAAGUUGAUUUUUUAAAAAAUACCAAUUGUAGCACUGCGUUCUGCCUCUGAUUGUGUAGAAAAUGGAGACUCCACUGUCAGGCCCUUGGUCCCCUUGGAAGACGGUGCUAUCUAGUCUUUUCACAGUCCAGCACGCUCACACUCCAGAACAAACACUCACACUCCAACACACCCUCACACACACACUCCAACACACACAGAUGCUCGCACUCACACACAUCCUCCCUCACACUUGCACUCCAACACACAUACACUCACACUUGUACACACUCAUGCACACUUGCACCCACUCACAAACAUACACUUAAAUACUUCCUCACACACACUUGCACUCACACACUCAUACACACUCACACUCGCUUUCUCACAAGCACACACAUUCCUCUGAGCCGAGUGAUAUUCCUGCCCCUCACACCUGCUGAGUGGGGGCAGCCCCCGCCUCUCCACCCUUGCAGGCGAUGGAGAGGACCCCCUGCAAGGAAGGGCCAGGGCAUCCCCCUGCAGGUUCUAGUCCUGGCUGCCUGUGCUCAUAGGAGGCAGUAGACUUUGGCACUGAGAUCAUGGACUCUGGAGCCAGACUCUCUGGGUUUGAGUCCUGGCUCUGCUGCCACUAGCUGUGUGACCAUCAACCAUUGCUUCACCUUUCUGGGUCUUGGUUUCACCCCUUAUAUAACAAGGACAAUAAUGCCUGCCCCAUAAGUCACUGUGCGGAUUCAUCCCAUUUCUACGUGUAAGGUGCUCAUAUAGGAAGCACUGGUGAGUGUUAGCUGCUGCUGCUGCUGCUGCUGUUCUCAGCAUCUGCUCCUAAAUCAUCCAUUUCUGGGUUUCGGGUCCCUGGGCAGGAAUUCAGCUUCUAACUAGGACUCAGGGAGAACAACCGUGUUUUCUGCUAUGGCUGUAACAGAUGACCGCAGAUUUAGUGACAUAAAGCAACACGGAUUUAUUUUCUUACAGCUCUGGAGGUCAGAAGCCUGAAAUCAUUUUCACUGGGCUAACAUGGAGGUGUCGGCAGGGCUGCAUUCCCUCUGAGGCUCCCAGGGAGCAUCGGCUUCCUGGCCUUUCCAGCCUCCAGAGCUGCAUUCCUCGCAUUCCUUGGCUCUUGGCAUCCUCCCCAUCUUCAGAGCAGCAGCCAGCAUCCUGGCUUCUGUUGUCCCACUGCCACCUUCCUCUGUAGUCCAGUCUCCCUUGCUCCCUCUCAGAAGAACCUUGGUGAUUACAUUUAGGGCCCACAGAGACAAUCCAGGAGAAUCCCUCAUCUCAAAAUCCUUAACUUAAUCUCAUCUGUGAAAGCUCUUUUGCUGUAGAAAGUAACAGUGAUACUCUGGGGAUUGGAGUGGGAACAUAUUUGGGGGCCAUUAUUCACACAACUGAAGCAGGAGGAAGCUUCCCUGGGUCCUGGCCCUGUGGCCCAACUUGGCCAAGUUCUGGACCAACUUGGAGCACCAGUCUAGACCCAACCCAGCCACACCCGCUGCCAGGGUCCCCUGCUGUCCCUUCAUGCUGGCUCUAGGCCCUCUGUCUAUCUCCCCAAACAGGCUCUGAGGGCAGAGUUGGUGUUCCAUUCUCUGCUGAAUCCCAGUCCUGGCAUGUGGGGCACCAGAUGGUUAUGUGCUCAUGUGUAAAGGUGAGCAGGUGCUGAUGUGCCACAUGUAUCCUUUUAGGCCAUGGCGAGUGUCACUGCGGGGAAUGCAAGUGCCAUGCAGGUUACAUCGGGGACAACUGUAACUGCUCGACAGACAUCAGCACAUGCCGGGGCAGAGAUGGCCAGAUCUGCAGCGAGCGUGGGCACUGUCUCUGUGGGCAGUGCCAAUGCACGGAGCCGGGGGCCUUUGGGGAGAUGUGUGAGAAGUGCCCCACCUGCCCGGAUGCAUGCAGCACCAAGAGGUACUGGUUCCACUGACAGCCCCACCUUACUUCUCACCCAGGCCAGGCCUGUGGUCCAGCCAGGCAGCCCUCAGGGCCGGCUAGCCUCCACUCCUCACCUCCUGCAUCUCCCACCCAGCAAGCCUCGCUGGGGAGCCGCAUUCUUACCAACCGUAACUGAAACUGUGGCUUUCAAAUGCUGGUUCCAUAAGGGUUUUGUAAGAAAACAAAAACAGAACAAGAAAUACAAAACUGCUACUCUGUUCCUAAACACGUUUAGAAAUCACGAAAUCACAGAGUUAAAUGAAAUUAAAUUGGUGUUGGUACCAAAAAUAGCACCUUCUCAGAGCCUUGAGUGUACUAUUGUGUGCUUUCACAGGAGAAUACAGUGUGCAUCUUUUUUCAAAUGAAUUAAAUCCCCCACACUGAUAUCUCCCAAACAGUGUUUCACAGAACCCUUAUGGGAAAUGCUGACAAACAUCAUCAGAAGGUAAAUUGGAAAGAGGCCGGGCAUGGUGGCUCACACCUGUAAUCCCAGCUCUUUGGGAGGCCAAGACGGGUGGAUCACUUGAGGUCAGGAGUUUGAGACCAGCCUGGCCAACAUGGUGAAACACCCGUCUCUACUAAAAAUACAAAAAUUAGCGGGGUGUGGUGGCACGUGCCUGUAAUCUCAGCUGCUCCGGAGGCUGAGGCAGGAGAAUGGCUUGAACCUGGGAGGCGGAGAUUGCAAGAUCGCACCACUGCACCCCAGCCUGGGCAACAAAGUGAGACUCCGUCUC
rnacentral:lncRNA from 1 species